rnacentral:rRNA from 1 species
UCCCUGAUGUUAGCGGCGGACGGGUGAGAUAACACGUGGGUAACCUGCCUGUAAGACUGGGAUAACUCCGGGAAACCGGGGCUAAUACCGGAUGGUUGUUUGAACCGCAUGGUUCAAACAUAAAAGGUGGCUUCGGCUACCACUUACAGAUGGACCCGCGGCGCAUUAGCUAGUUGGUGAGGUAACGGCUCACCAAGGCAACGAUGCGUAGCCGACCUGAGAGGGUGAUCGGCCACACUGGGACUGAGACACGGCCCAGACUCCUACGGGAGGCAGCAGUAGGGAAUCUUCCGCAAUGGACGAAAGUCUGACGGAGCAACGCCGCGUGAGUGAUGAAGGUUUUCGGAUCGUAAAGCUCUGUUGUUAGGGAAGAACAAGUACCGUU